GUGCUCACUUUGGCAACACAUAUACUAAAACUGGAACAAUACAGAAAAUACUACCAUGGCCCCUGUGUAAGGAGGACACAGAAAAUCAUGUAGCAUUUUACAUGUCU
ensembl:snRNA U6 U6 spliceosomal RNA